GACGAACGCUGGCGGCGUGCUUAACACAUGCAAGUCGAACGGAAAGGCCCUGCUUUUGUGGGGUGCUCGAGUGGCGAACGGGUGAGUAACACGUGAGUAACCUGCCCUUGACUUUGGGAUAACUUCAGGAAACGGGGGCUAAUACCGGAUAGGAGCUCCUGCUGCAUGGUGGGGGUUGGAAAGUUUCGGCGGUUGGGGAUGGACUCGCGGCUUAUCAGCUUGUUGGUGGGGUAGUGGCUUACCAAGGCUUUGGCGGGUAGCCGGCCUGAGAGGGUGACCGGCCACAUUGGGACUGAGAUACGGCCCAGACUCCUACGGGAGGCAGCAGGGGGGAGUAUUGCACAAUGGGCGGAAGCCUGAUGCAGCAACGCCGCGUGCGGGAUGACGGCCUUCGGGUUGUAAACCGCUUUCGCCUGUGACGAAGCGUGAGUGACGGUAAUGGGUAAAGAAGCACCGGCUAACUACGUG
rnacentral:rRNA from 1 species